AACGAACGCUGGCGGCAGGCUUAACACAUGCAAGUCGAGCGCCCGCAAGGGGAGCGGCAGACGGGUGAGUAACGCGUGGGAAUCUACCCAUCUCUACGGAAUAACGCAUGGAAACGUGUGCUAAUACCGUAUACGUCCUUCGGGAGAAAGAUUUAUCGGAGAUGGAUGAGCCCGCGUUGGAUUAGCUAGUUGGUGGGGUAAAGGCCUACCAAGGCGACGAUCCAUAGCUGGUCUGAGAGGAUGAUCAGCCACACUGGGACUGAGACACGGCCCAGACUCCUACGGGAGGCAGCAGUGGGGAAUAUUGGACAAUGGGCGCAAGCUUGAUCCAGCCAUGCCGCGUGAGUGAUGAAGGCCCUAGGGUUGUAAAGCUCUUUCACCGGUGAAGAUAAUGACGGUAACCGGAGAAGAAGCCCCGGCUAACUUCGUGCCAGCCGCCGCGGUAACAC
rnacentral:rRNA from 1 species